UACAGAGGGUGCGAGCGUUAAUCGGAAUUACUGGGCGUAAAGCGCGCGUAGGCGGCUUUGCAAGUCGGGUGUGAAAUCCCCAGGCUUAACCUGGGAACUGCAUUCGAGACUGCAUUGCUAGAGUAUGGGAGAGGGAAGUGGAAUUUCCGGUGUAGCGGUGAAAUGCGUAGAUAUCUGUAGGAACACCCGUGGCGAAGGCGGCUCGCUGGACCGUUACUGACGCUGAGGAACGAAAGCUAGGGGAGCAAACAGG
rnacentral:rRNA from 1 species